AAUGAUAAUACUUUAAUUUACUUACGAAGCAAUCAAGUUUGAUUAAUUCCAAGGGAAAAAGGAAGAAGUUUUAUAGCUGUUCACAAAGAUUAAAACAAAAAUGCGUUUACUUGCAAAUCCUAAACUAUCUGAACUGAACUUCAGAUCAUUUCUACUGAGCAUUCUUCUGUGAAUGCGCAAACAUGUCUUUAAGUGUUACUUUGAGGGAUUGUACCCUCAAAUAUUACAUGACUCGCAUGCAAAUACAAGUUUGAACGUUCAAACUCGUGGGAAGAAUCAUGUUAGAAGAUCAUCCAUCGCUCGUCAAUGUGAAGGCUAGAAGGACAAUUGUAAGAGCUGAGAAUAUUGUCACACAAGCAAACAACCACAUAGACUUGCUUUGGCCUUUAUUCUGGCUCUCCUGGCUGCUCAACUCAACCUCCUUGAGUAGCUCUCUCACUUCGUCCAUGUCCGAGUCUUUUGCAGCUUGGACUAAUCUACUCUGAAUUUUCUCAAGCUUCAAGAGCUUUCGACUUUUUGUGACAUCUUUGGUUGGCCAGAUAUAACCAGUCAUUUUCCACAGAAGGAUACCAACAUAUAUGGCCACAAUACAGUCUACAGUAUAAUGGUGUCGUUCCCGAAUUUCUCUUUGUGCACUGUGCAAUACAAGCAGCCAUAUGAAAGCUGAGCUAAAACCUCCAUAAGCUUCCGUCCAAGCCAUAGCUGUUAGUACAGCAACAAGCAUGUGACCACUGUAAAUGAGGUCAUUGCAGCCACCUCCAGCUUUCUUCAGAAGACUGUACCAAGAUCCUUGUGUAGUAGGUCGCAAGAAAUCUAUCAGGAAACUCAUUGAACCCCAAUCUGGACGGUAAUCACCCUGGUAUUCCCCAGUGUCGGCAUAAGCUAUAUCCCAUUGUAUUAUCUGACGAAUAGCAUUAGCAUCUGAGGCAUAAGGGACAUAAUACUUUUGAGCCCAAUGAUGAGGGUAUGUUGGAACUGAAAACCGAGCUGCAGCACACCAAGGUCGGGCUGAUGGAAGAAUAGUUGAUACAAAAGUUAUGGCCCGAAGAAAACGGCCAAUUGCCAUGGUGAACAUAUACCUUGCUCCUAGUCCAAGACCAGGGGCUUCUACAGAGUCAAAUAGCACAGAGAAUGCCAGCAUCAUAAACAACAUCAGGAAAUGGUGCAGUCCAAUAAUAUGAGCCCUCAGUAUCUCAACCAAUGGUUCAGGAAGUUUCUCAUUCAGUGAGAGGAGCAACCACUGGCCAGUGUCAGGAAGAGGAGAUGUAUCACUGUUCAAUAUUACCAAGCCAAAUAGUCCUGUUAACAAUAGUUGACAAUAUUUAAAAAUGAAAUAGUUUAGGAGAUGAAAUGUACUCUUGUGGCAUGAAAAGAACUAUAAGUGAUAGAAAAAUGAUGGCAGAUUAUAUCAACUUACACAAAUGUAAGUCAGAGACAGAUUAUUUCAAUUUAUUUAAGUGGAAGUCAUGAUAAAUUUGGAAUCACUAGACAACUAGUGGAUAUUUUGAUUUGGAAUUCAUUAAGAGAACAACAUUCUGACUUUUCAGGAUUUAGAGGAUAAUUCUUCCCAGAAUAUCUAUUCUGCAUCUACUUUCAGUAAUUGAGCGAACAAGACUAAGUUCAGCACUUUAGCUAUAAUUUAUCAUAAGAAUGUGUGGGCCUUGGACCAUCAUACCAACCAAUUUUAAUUUACACAUCUGCAGCUUAUGGAGAACACAGUACAUAAAGGAUACACCGAACAAAUAAUAAUAAUAUUGACAACUGUUGCAGAUUUAGCAGUUGCAGAACCCAAUAAGCAAAUUAAUUUAUGUCCCCUAGUGACUGCUACAGAUAUUCAUUCCAGUCUUCUUAAAAAUUUUGAGAACACACACAUACUAUCAUCAAGAUGACAAGAUCACUUUUAUACUCAAUAAAAAUUCUAUUAAAAGGCCCCCAAUGGCAGUUACAUUCAUGUAAAUUUGAACAAACAUCUUAUCAAAAGGUUAGUAUGUUGUUUGAUCUCUGAUGAAAUUAAUGUGAAUUUCAUCUAAGAUUCUAACUCAUAAUUUUAUGCUUUAUCACAUAAAUGCAUAAAUUUCUAUGAUCUAUGAACGGCAAGCCUGGGAAUUUAAUGAAACAAAGCGAUCAGAACAAGACCUUAAGACCUAUUAAUCACAAAUACAAUGAGAAAUGCAAAUGCAUCCUUAAUUUGCAAAAGAUACAAAAUAAUUGCAUACACUCUGGGUCUGGAAUAAUUUACUCAAAAUCUUCCACCCAAUCAAUUAAAAUGCAUGCUUAAUUUGAGUAAUCAUAUCCUGCAGAUUAAUCUAUUUAAAAGCAUUCCAGCCCAGAAACACCUGGAGCAAAGUACAUAUCGGGAUUUACUAAACUGGCAACCUUGAGAACUUUAGAUUCCAUUAUUUGAGUGGUAAGCAGUAAACAAUAACCCACGUUCAGAUCGCAGGAUACUAAAAUCAAAUACAAAUCAGAUCCCACUUAAAUUCAAUAAGAUUCCAAAUCAAUAACUUGGUAUAAUGCAGAGAAAAAACAGACCCAAGUAAACAUUUAACAUCGAUAUUGAACAAAACACCAAAAAAGAACAGAAAUGGGAUCUAAACUACUUCAAACUAAUUGCAUGAUUUGCACAACCCAAAAAGUAUACAAAAUACCAAAUCUGAAAAAGGAUCAAACUUGACCCACUUCUGAAUCAAAUAAACAUGUGACACAAAUCAAACUCGACCCAUAUGAUAUACCCAGAAAAACACACAAAGCAACCAACUGGUCCAACCCCACCUCAGGUAACACUACAUUGACCAUAUGGGUCGCUCCAGUUCCAACUCAAAAAAUAUAGCACAUAAGAAAAUAGCAAAGCAAUUACCGGUGCCAAUCCAGGCCAAGCACGGCGGUGGCGAAGCGCACACAUAAGGCCUCGAAGAGGAGACAGGCGAGCAUAAAGAACAUAGAAGCAACAAAUGGGAUGGCAGCGCGAACCUCGGAGGACCAGUGCCUGUAAAAAGGGACACGAGAGAUGGCGAUUAGAGCUAGUACGGACCAAAGUGCUGGUUGUAGACGCUCGUGCCAAGUCGGGGAUAGGUGGCGCAGGUAAUCCACCGCAACGUAAGACAUCGCUGCCACUCCUAAACCGCCGGUGGUUCUCGCUGCUGGCAAACGCCUCAUGGCUGUGCGACGAUUAUUUCGGGAAAGCUGACCAAGUUGUGGUGUAAGAAAGUGGAGGACUUUGCAGAGAAGUUUG
rnacentral:misc_RNA from 1 species